rnacentral:rRNA from 1 species
AACGCUGGCGGCGUGCCUAAUACAUGCAAGUCGAGCGGACAGAAGGGAGCUUGCUCCCGGACGUUAGCGGCGGACGGGUGAGUAACACGUGGGCAACCUGCCCCUAAAUGGCUAGACUGGGAUAACUCCGGGAAACCGGAGCUAAUACCGGAUAAUCCCUUUCUCCACCUGGAGAGAGGGUGAAAGAUGUCUUCGGCUAUCACUAGGGGAUGGGCCCGCGGCGCAUUAGCUAGUUGGUAAGGUAACGGCUUACCAAGGCAACGAUGCGUAGCCGACCUGAGAGGGUGAUCGGCCACACUGGGACUGAGACACGGCCCAGACUCCUACGGGAGGCAGCAGUAGGGAAUCUUCCGCAAUGGACGAAAGUCUGACGGAGCAACGCCGCGUGAGUGAGGAAGGCCUUCGGGUCGUAAAGCUCUGUUGUGAGGGAAGAAGCGGUACCGUUCGAAUAGGGCGGUACCUUGACGGUACCUCACCAGAAAGCCACGGCUAACUACGUGCCAGCAGCCGCGGUAAUACGUAGGUGGCAAGCGUUGUCCGGAAUUAUUGGGCGUAAAGCGCGCGCAGGCGGCUUCUUAAGUCUGAUGUGAAAUCUCGGGGCUCAACCCCGAGCGGCCAUUGGAAACUGGGGAGCUUGAGUGCAGAAGAGGAGAGUGGAAUUCCACGUGUAGCGGUGAAAUGCGUAGAGAUGUGGAGGAACACCAGUGGCGAAGGCGACUCUCUGGUCUGUAACUGACGCUGAGGCGCGAAAGCGUGGGGAGCAAACAGGAUUAGAUACCUUGGUAGUCCACGCCGUAAACGAUGAGUGCUAGGUGUUAGGGGUUUCGAUGCCCGUAGUGCCGAAGUUAACACAUUAAGCACUCCGCCUGGGGAGU